CCGUAGAUUGGUAGGAUCCGCUGAAACACGAACUGAAUAUAUAAAAAGGUACACAUACCGAGAUCCGUGCCCUCAACUUGUCGUUGAGAAGCGAAAUGGCGAAUUCGAUGAUCUUGGUCGCGCAGCUUGGAAUAUUAACGAAGGACCAGGCGCUGAGGUGACCCAUGGUCAAUCCGGAUUCGUCGUUAAUGUACGUGUAACCGCGGACCUGAUUCUCCUCGUCGUCCAUCAGGGCCUCCACUACGAGACUGUGCGCCCGGGCCAUCUGCGCUGACGUGUAUUUGUACGGAUCGAAGCGACCUUAAACCCAGAACGAGGAAUUGUAACAACGGAAGGCAAACGAAAACCGCCAUCACCUAUGAAAGUGUUCAUAGACUAUGUUAUUUCAUUAUUCAAGUGUUUAAACUACGGAAUGUAUAGAGCAAUUCGGUUUUUAAAUAAAAUAUGUAAGAAACUAA